AGAUUAAGCCAUGCAUGUUUCCGCAAUCAGGGACGAAUAGCUCAGUAAAACUGCGAUGAUUUAGUCUGGCUGUGUAGAUAACUACGUGAAAAUGUAGCUAAGGGAAGGCAGAAUAAGACGCAGGACUAUCAGUUAGUUGGUAGUGUAAUGGACUACCAAGACAGUGACGGUUGACGGGAAAUUAGGGUUUUGUACCGGAGAGGGAGCCUGAGAGAUUGCUCCCACGUCCAAGGACGGCAGCAGGCGCGAAAAUUGCCCACUCUUUGCAGGAGGCAGUUAUGAGACGUGAAGAUGAGUAUCUUGUAAAGAGGGAUAGGAGAAUUGGAGGGCAAGUUUGGUGCCAGCAGCCGCGGUAAUACCGACUCCAAGAGUGUGUAUGAGAGAUGCUGCAGUUAAAAAGUCCGUAGUCAUAGAAGGGCAAAGAGAGAUGCGAGGUCUCACAGUGCGAUGAUGGAGGAGCCGAUGGGGAACAUAGUAUACCAGGGCGAGAGAUGAAAUGCCAAGACCCCUGGUGGACUGAGCGAGGCGAAGGCGAUGUUCUUGUAGGCAUUCGGUGAUCAAGGACGAAGGCUGGAGUAUCGAAAGUGAUUAGAUACCGC
rnacentral:rRNA from 1 species